GAGAGAGAAAGAAAGAAACAGAAAAAAGAGACAGAGAAGGAAACGGAAAGUUCGAAAAGUGCUCGCAUGUAUACGACUUAUGGCAUUCUGUUUCUCGUCUUUCUUC
rnacentral:ribozyme from 16 species